GACGAACGCUGGCGGCGUGCUUAACACAUGCCAGUCGAACGAUGAUCUCCCGCUUGCGGGGGUGAUUAGUGGCGAACGGGUGAGUAAUACGUGAGUAACCUGCCCUUGACUCUGGGAUAAGCCUGGGAAACCGGGUCUAAUACUGGAUACUACUUCCUGCCGCAUGGUGGGGGGUGGAAAGGGUUUUACUGGUUUUGGAUGGGCUCACGGCCUAUCAGCUUGUUGGUGGAGUAAUGGCUCACCAAGGCGACGACGGGUAGCCGGCCUGAGAGGGUGACCGGCCACACUGGGACUGAGACACGGCCCAGACUCCUACGGGAGGCAGCAGUGGGGAAUAUUGCACAAUGGGCGGAAGCCUGAUGCAGCGACGCCGCGUGAGGGGUGACGGCCUUCGGGUUGGAAACCUCUUUCAGCAGGGAAGAAGCCACAAGUGACGGUACCUGCAGAAGAAGCGCCGGCUAACUACGUG
rnacentral:rRNA from 1 species